AUUGAACGCUUGCGGCAGGCCUAACACAUGCAAGUCGAACGAGUGGCGGACGGGUGAGUAAUAUCUGGGAAACUGCCUGAUGGCGGGGGAUAACUACUGGAAACGGUAGCUAAUACCGCAUACCAUCGGAUGUGCCCAGAUGGGAUUAGCUAGUAGGUGGGGUAACGGCUCACCUAGGCGACGAUCCCUAGCUGGUAUGAGAGGAUGACCAGCCACACUGGAACUGAGACACGGUCCAGACUCCUACGGGAGGCAGCAGUGGGGAAUAUUGGACAAUGGGCGCAAACCUGAUGCAGCCAUGCCGCGUGUAUGAAGAAGGCCUUCGGGUUGUAAAGUACUUUCAGCGGGGAGGCGUUACCCGCAGAAGAAGCACCGGCUAACUCCGUGCCAGCAGCCGCGGUAAUUC
rnacentral:rRNA from 1 species